rnacentral:rRNA from 1 species
AUGCACUCUCUCCUCCCUCUCCCCGACCCUUUUCCUCUGGCUUUCACGGCGGCACUCUCUCCACUUCCUCUGGCCAAGGGUCUCGAAGCCUCUCCUCGCGCCAUGGCACCACGCGCACAGAAGCAGCUGUUCCCCGCCGAUGCAGUGAGCAGUGACCACGAUCUCCAUUCCACGGCGUCGUCGAUUAGCAAUGCAAAGCGCUCUGUCGUUGUUAGGCCAAGGGCUCUGCUUAGUGUUGUCCUUGCUGAAGUUGGCUUGCCCGAGGUGAAAUACAAGACCUACGCAGCACGCGGUGGCUGUUUUGCUGCUACAGCAUAUUUCUGGCCAUCACCGUCGGGUUCAUCUGCGGCAGGGCCGCAUAUGAGGCUGAAUGGUGAACCAGUUGUGGAUGCUCAGGAGGCCAUACAGAAUGCUGCUACCCUGUGCUUGGAGAACCUUCAAGACAGUAUGGAUAUUGAGUUUGACUGUCCCCGGGUGAAAAAAAUGAAGACUGAUAAGAGGUACCUGUUGAACAGCAUUGCUGGGAAGGACAGGGAAAUCAAAGAUCUAGAGACUAAACUGGAGAAAAGGAAAAUGCAGGUCAAUGGGCUUGGCAAAGGGUGGAGGUCAUUUGCACAGGAUGUGCGUCGUUCUGCGGGGCGUAUUGACAAGAUAGCCGUGAACUACCUGCCUACAGCGUCCGAUACUAUGGAAGGUGAUGUGGCCUGGGAGUGCUACCAUCUGACCCAGGAAACCGAUGACCUCUGCUAUCUAGCUGCAAUGUCCACCGAUGCAGUCAAUACAGUCGGUACUUAUCCUUGUGAUCCGGAGUCUGACUGCUCUGGGUAUGACCAGUUUCCUGAUUGCAUCCAUCAAACCACUAUGACACCGGCGAUGGUUACUUCUCGUCCGGUUACUCGUAUGAAAUUGAGCUGUGGUGAAUGCUACUAA